rnacentral:rRNA from 1 species
GACGAACGCUGGCGGCGUGCUUAACACAUGCAAGUCGAACGGAAAGGCCCUGCUUUUGUGGGGUGCUCGAGUGGCGAACGGGUGAGUAACACGUGAGUAACCUGCCCUUUACUUUGGGAUAACUUCAGGAAACUGGGGCUAAUACCGGAUAGGUGCUCCUGCUGCAUGGUGGGGGUUGGAAAGUUCCGGCGGUUGGGGAUAGACUGGCGGCUUAUCAGCUUGUUGGUGGGGUAGUGGCUUACCAAGUCUUUGACGGGUAGCCGGCCUGAGAGGGUGACCGGGCACAAGGCGACUAAGGGACGGCCCAGUCGCGUACGGGAGGCAGCGGUGGAAAGUAUUGCACAGUGGUGGGGAGCCUGAGACGACAGCGCCGCGAGCGGGAAGACGGCCUACGGGUUGUAAACCGCUGUCGCCUGUGACGAAGCGUGAGUGACGGUAAUGGGUAAAGAAGCACCGGCUAACUACGUG